CGGGGUAUAGUACAACGGUAGUAUGCACGAUUCGGGUUCGUGUGAUCUCGGUUCGAUUCCGGGUACCCCGA
rnacentral:tRNA from 1 species